rnacentral:rRNA from 1 species
UACGUAGGGUGCAAGCGUUGUCCGGAAUUAUUGGGCGUAAAGAGCUCGUAGGCGGUUUGUCGCGUCGGCUGUGAAAACUCGGGGCUCAACCCCGAGCCUGCAGUCGAUACGGGCAAACUAGAGUGUGGUAGGGGAGACUGGAAUUCCUGGUGUAGCGGUGAAAUGCGCAGAUAUCAGGAGGAACACCGGCGGCGAAGGCGGGUCUCUGGGCCAUAACUGACGCUGAGGAGCGAAAAGCAUGGGGGAGCGAACAGG